rnacentral:rRNA from 1 species
UACGGGCGGUGCGAGCGUUGUUCGGAAUCAUUGGGCGUAAAGCGCACGUAGGCGGACCGCUAAGUCGGAUGUGAAAUGCCUUGGCUCAACCAAGGCACAGCGCUCUAAACUACUUCGCUCGAGUGAGUCAGGGGUACGCGGAACUUCCGGUGGAGCGGUGAAAUGUGUUGAUAUCGGAAGGAACACCGGUGGCGAAAGCGGCGUACUGGGGCUUAACUGACGCUGAGGCACGAAAGCCAGGGGAGCGAACGGG